GACGAACGCUGGCGGCGUGCUUAACACAUGCAAGUCGAACGGACAGGCCCUGCUUUUGUGGGGUGCUCGAUUGGCGAACGGGUGUGUAACACGUGUGUAACACGCCCCUGUCUUUGGGAUAACUCCAGGAAACUGGGGCUAAUACCGCAGAGGAGCUCCUGCUGCACGGGGGGGGUUGGUGAGUUUCGGCGGUUGGGGAUGGACUGGCGGCAUAUCGGCUUGUUGGUCGGGUAGUGGCUUACCAAGGCUGCGACGGGUAGGCGGCCUGAGAGGUGGGCCGGCGACAUGAGGACUGAGAGACGGACCAGACUCCUACGGGAGGCAGCGGGGGAGAAUCUUGCGGAAUGGCGGGAAGCGUGAUGCAGCAACGUUGCGUGCGUGAUGACGGCCUACGAGUUGUAAACCGCUGUCGCCGGUGACGAAGACUGAGUGACGGUAAUGGGUAAAGAAGCACCGGCUAACUACGUG
rnacentral:rRNA from 1 species